GACGAACGCUGGCGGCGUGCCUAAUACAUGCAAGUAGAACGCACAGUUUAUACCGUAGCUUGCUACACCAUAGACUGUGAGUUGCGAACGGGUGAGUAACGCGUAGGUAACCUGCCUGGUAGCGGGGGAUAACUAUUGGAAACGAUAGCUAAUACCGCAUAAUAUUGAUUAUUGCAUGAUAAUUGAUUGAAAGAUGCUAUUGCAUCACUACCAGAUGGACCUGCGUUGUAUUAGCUAGUAGGUGAGGUAACGGCUCACCUAGGCGACGAUACAUAGCCGACCUGAGAGGGUGAUCGGCCACACUGGGACUGAGACACGGCCCAGACUCCUACGGGAGGCAGCAGUAGGGAAUCUUCGGCAAUGGACGAAAGUCUGACCGAGCAACGCCGCGUGAGUGAAGAA
rnacentral:rRNA from 1 species